GAUGAACGCUGGCGGCGUGCCUAAUACAUGCAAGUCGAGCGAACAGAUGAGGAGCUUGCUCCUCUGACGUUAGCGGCGGACGGGUGAGUAACACGUGGAUAACCUACCUAUAAGACUGGGAUAACUUCGGGAAACCGGAGCUAAUACCGGAUAAUAUAUUGAACCGCAUGGUUCAAUAGUGAAAGACGGUUUUGCUGUCACUUAUAGAUGGAUCCGCGCCGCAUUAGCUAGUUGGUAAGGUAACGGCUUACCAAGGCAACGAUGCGUAGCCGACCUGAGAGAGUGAUCGGCCACACUGGAACUGAGACACGGUCCAGACUCCUACGGGAGGCAGCAGUAGGGAAUCUUCCGCAGUGGGCGAAAGCUUGACGGAGCAACGCCGCGUGAGUGAUGAAGGUCUUCGGAUCGUAAAACUCUGUUAUUAGGGAAGAACAAAUGUGUAAGUAACUAUGCACGUCUUGACGGUACCUAAUCAGAAAGCCACGGCUAACUACGUG
rnacentral:rRNA from 1 species